AGCACAGAGGGAAGCAGAUCUCAGAAAAUAUAGGUGCUAGGGUCCUGCCAUGUGAAAAGCAAAUGUUAUUAAUAUUUCAUCCCCUCGGCGAAUUUUAGGAGUCAAAUUGGGCGAGCGCAGGGAUUCACGCUUCGGAACAGCGACAGGGGAUAUUUACCGACUAGCCAGAACCUCUCUUAAAUGUCUCAUCCAAAGUUAACAUACGGGGAGCGGAAGUUAGGAAAAUCCAGUCCGGGGAAGAAGCGCCACCAGCUGGCUUCUGAAACACCACUAGAAACAGCAACCAGGAACACACAGGGGCUGCGAAGACAUGGACCAUGGACCAUGACCAGUCCUAAAGUGCUUCAGACUGCUCUUUUCUCAGAAGAAAAGAAAAACAACAGUAUUUAGGAGAAACGUGGCUAGCAACCCAUCCUUGAAAAACCUGCUUUCAAAUGAAAUUGUUUUUUAAACC